AGGCUGAGGGAGGUAACAUGUUGGUGUCACCCCUCCCAAGUGCAAUAGGUUGGUGACCUCCAUUGCACUUGGGAGGGGUGCCCGCCUAACAUCUUCCCAAGUGGAAGAGUGUACGUCAUAAUUUGUGGCAGAGGGGGUAUGCGUUUGCGCGGCCCUUA